AUUGAACGCUGGCGGCAUGCUUUACACAUGCAAGUCGAACGGUAACAGGCCGCAAGGUGCUGACGAGUGGCGAACGGGUGAGUAAUGCAUCGGAACGUGCCCAGUCGUGGGGGAUAACUACUCGAAAGAGUAGCUAAUACCGCAUACGAUCUAUGGAUGAAAGUGGGGGACCGUAAGGCCUCGCGCGAUUGGAGCGGCCGAUGUCAGAUUAGGUAGUUGGUGGGGUAAAGGCUCACCAAGCCAACGAUCUGUAGCUGGUCUGAGAGGACGACCAGCCACACUGGGACUGAGACACGGCCCAGACUCCUACGGGAGGCAGCAGUGGGGAAUUUUGGACAAUGGGCGCAAGCCUGAUCCAGCAAUGCCGCGUGCAGGAAGAAGGCCUUCGGGUUGUGAACUGCUUUUGUACGGAACGAAACGGCUCUGGUUAAUACCCGGGGCUAAUGACGGUACCGUAAGAAUAAGCACCGGCUAACUACGUG
rnacentral:rRNA from 1 species